rnacentral:misc_RNA from 1 species
CAGGGUUCCUGAAGGGCGACGAGCAUCGGCGUUUGGAAUCCUUUCAGGUAUUGGAUCUUCGGCGUUCGUUUGUGGAACACUCUCUACUCGUUUCCUCUCCACUGCCUCCACUUUCCAGGUUGCGGCCUCAGUGGCAAUCGUGGCCUUAGUGUACAUGAGGGUUUUCCUUCAGGAUUCAAUCGUUGAUGGAAACAUUUCCACACCAAUACUCUCCAAUGGAAAGAGCAAAGUUGAUGUGAUUGGAAAUUCAAGUAAGAACGUGCAGAUUUUUAAAACCAUGCCUUCCUUGGAGGAUAUGCUUUGCUUGCUUAAGAGCAGUGUUACGUUGUCACAAGCUGCUGUGGUUGCAUUUUUCAUCAAUUUUUCGGAAGUUGGCCUUCAUGCUUCGCUAAUGUACUACUUAAAGGCACGAUUUCACUUUAAUAAGAAUCAGUUUGCUGACUUAAUGGUAAUUUCUGGGAUUGCUGGGACCAUUUCACAGUUGCUUCUCAUGCCCAUGCUGGCUCCUGCUUUAGGAGAGGGGAGGUUGCUUUCAAUAGGUCUCUUCUUUACAUGC